rnacentral:ncRNA from 1 species
UUAAAGGCAAUGAUGGGGUAAAGUAGGUUAUAUAUUCUUUUUAAGCGAGCCGGGGACGGUGCGAGCCCGGUAAAAGGAUUAUAACUGAAGUUCACCGCCUGAGCUGUUGGCUGAAAAGCGGUUCACACCGCUAAAGUAGGCUUAACCGGAGCUUUCACCGUUAAAAGAAAGGUUGUAUCGGAUUAUUAAUAAUAUAUAAUCCCGUACAAUAAUGAGUGGGCUUUAUGCCAAUUUGGGUGGUACCGCGUGGAGAAUACACUCCUCGUCCCUUAA